rnacentral:rRNA from 1 species
UACGUAGGGUGCAAGCGUUGUCCGGAAUUAUUGGGCGUAAAGAGCUCGUAGGCGGUUUGUCGCGUCGAAUGUGAAAACCCGGGGCUCAACCCCGGGCCUGCAUUCGAUACGGCAGACUAGAGUUCGGUAGGUGAGUCUGGAAUUCCUGGUGUAGCGGUGAAAUGCGCAGAUAUCAGGAGGAACACCGGUGGCGAAGGCGGGACUCUGGGCCGAUACUGACGCUGAGGAGCGAAAGCGUGGGGAGCAAACAGG